rnacentral:rRNA from 1 species
AUACGUAGGGGGCGAGCGUUGUCCGGAAUGAUUGGGCGUAAAGGGCGCGUAGGCGGCGCGGUAAGUCUGGAGUGAAAGUCCUGCUUUCAAGGUGGGAAUUGCUUUGGAUACUGCCGCGCUUGAGUGCAGGAGAGGUUAUCGGAAUUCCCGGUGUAGCGGUGAAAUGCGUAGAGAUCGGGAGGAACACCAGUGGCGAAGGCGGGUAACUGGACUGCAACUGACGCUGAGGCGCGAAAGUGUGGGGAGCAAACAGGAUUAGAUACCCUGGUAGUCCACACUGUAAACGAUGAAUACUAGGUGUAGGGGGUAUCGACUCCCUCUGUGCCGCAGUUAACACAAUAAGUAUUCCGCCUGGGGAGUACGGCCGCAAGGUUGAAACUCAAAGGAAUUGACGGGG